rnacentral:lncRNA from 12 species
CCCGGCCCUGCCUGGGAUUUCCUGUUCAGACCAGGGCACCAGACAGAAUCCUGGGCUGGGAGCCAGCCUCCUCCAAUAGUGCCUGGACAACAGUUCCAGGCCAAAAGGAGGAAGAGAGAAAGAGACAGAAAGAGAGAGAGACAGAAAGAGAGAGAUAGAGACAGAAAGAGAGAGAGAAUGAAAGAGUGAAAGAGAGAGAGAGAGAAAGGGAAAUAAAGAGAGAAAGGGAGAAAGAGUGAGAGACAGAGAGAGAGACAGAGAGACAGAGAGACAGAGAGAGAGAGACAGAGGCAGAGGAGGGAGGCGGGAGAACGAGCCCUGCCGGCAGCGCGGCCAACUUUCCUUCUGCAGCGCAGCAGGGCAGGGCAGCCUCUCAUCCCUCGGUGUGCGACCCUUGCCCCGGGUGCAUUCCUCCACAGCUGAUGCAGACAGAAGCACAAAGCACUGCAUUGACAGGGUGCAACACAAAGAGGCUGUGAAAAUUAAGAGGACUUCAGAUUUCUACUUCCAGUCUCCUGCUGCAUCUUCCCUGGGUGAGUUAAACAGAUUGGAUGAGAAAGUAUUCAAGCAUCUUGAAAAAUCCUGAGGAGAUUGUUGUCUUUGAUACCUGAAAUCUGAACCUUUAAGGAAAAUGUUCACUGCAAAGCAAAAUUAAAGAAUGCUGAGGUACUCUGAUGGAGUGUUUGGUUCUUUCAAACACAUGUUUUCCAAGUGUCUCAAGUAUCGCCUGGAUUCUUCUCCUAAAAUCACUCCCUAAUACUCCUGUCCUGGGUAAGACACAAUACUUCUC